rnacentral:rRNA from 1 species
CCUCCGGGAGGCUGCAGUGAGGAAUAUUGGUCAAUGGGCGAGAGCCUGAACCAGCCAAGUCGCGUGAGGGAGUACUGCCCUAUGGGUUGUAAACCUCUUUUGUCGGGGAGCAAAAGCCGGACGUGUCCGGCUGUGAGAGUACCCGAAGAAAAAGCAUCGGCUAACUCCGUGCCAGCAGCCGCGGUAAUACGGAGGAUGCGAGCGUUAUCCGGAUUUAUUGGGUUUAAAGGGUGCGCAGGCGGAAUGUCAAGUCAGCGGUAAAAUUUCGGGGCUCAACCCCGUCGUGCCGUUGAAACUGGCGUUCUUGAGUGAGCGAGAAGUAUGCGGAAUGCGUGGUGUAGCGGUGAAAUGCAUAGAUAUCACGCAGAACUCCGAUUGCGAAGGCAGCAUACCGGCGCUCAACUGACGCUCAUGCACGAAAGCGUGGGUAUCGAACAGGAUUAGAUACCCUGGUAGUC